GUUGAACCCAACUAUAGCCAGCAAAAGCUUCAGAUAUCCUUGAACAACAACUUUGGUCAGAAUGAAGUGGAUCAAGCUGGAAGUAUUUUGAAUCCAAUUACUGUAUCAACUGGACUUAGACUUUCUUAUGAGGAAAAAGAACGCAAUUCAUCAGUCACUUCUGCUCCUGAAAACACGAAAGCAUCCCUCCCUGCUCGUCUACCAAUAGACAGUGGUUUUAAAUAUGAGAUUGACAGGCAAAGGGAAGAAUUUGAUCACUACAUGA
rnacentral:misc_RNA from 1 species